GGGUCAGUAGGUUGGUCGUGCCACCGGUACGUACUGGUCUCACUGAUUCCUCCUUCCCGAAGAACCGUAAUGCCAUUAAUUUGGUGUUGCGGGGAAACAGGACUGUUACCUUGAAAAAAUUAGAGUGUUUAAAGCAAGCUAACGCUUGAAUACAUUAGCGUGGAAUAAUGAAAUAGGACGAUCGAUCCUAUUUUGUUGGUUUCUAGGAUUGACGUA
rnacentral:rRNA from 1 species